CUACUGACACCAAAGAAAGCCUCGGCGGUCACGUCCCAGGUCUGCCCUCUGUGACCUUACUGAGUGCACUUGGCCAGUCAUCAAAAAUUCCUGGGGAGCAUUUAAAAAUAGGUAUUCCCAGGCCCAACGCCCACCUGCUAAAUCAGAAAUCCAAAACAAAGGUGGACCUCCACAAUCUGCUACAGCUAGAUGCACUCUGGUACAAGAAUGACAGGUCACUGGAAGGAGUGACUUCAGUACCCGUAAGGAAGGGAAGUAGCCCAGGAGACAGCAUUUGCCCUGCACACUGCCUGAAACUACAAAUUUUACACCACAUGAACACGGUACCAAUGCAAACUUCUAAAAAUGGUUCCUGGAGGAGGAGAACAUGGCGGACAGACAACAGCAACUACCGGAGGCUCUCUGAAAGGCUCGGCUCAGAGGCCAGGAAUGAUGCGGACUAAGGAGACACGAACCGGUAGAGAUAUGCUCUGCUGACUCAGGAACGAACUGGGCUGAGAGAAACCAACUUAAAAUAUAGUCCUGGCGCUAAAAUAGGAACAGAAAAGGCUCGGUGUGGAGGCUCGACUACGUGCCAUUGGAAACCGCGAUUUGGGUAUCCUGCCGCAGUUUGGAUUUCCCGCCGCCCGGCGGCUGGCUGCCUCCACAAGCGGCUCGGCAAGGAGAGACGCGCAGAAGCUCUGGGAACGGGAGUCUGCGAACGGAGUCGAAAACAGGACGGACAAGAAGGCGUACACGAAAACUGACUGGUGGCAAGGUGAGCGAGAAAACUGAGCCCCUACCACAGUUUGACUCCAGCGGAGGUUUUUCUGGGCUCGGGCAGUCCUGCGGCAGCAGGGCGCCGUGGCAACUCCAGCCACACAUUCCCCUCUCGGACGGGAUUGGUGAAAAGUGCCUGGCCUGCGUGACGCUGCGGGCGGACUCCCUAGGCUGGCCUAACCCAGAUCCCAGAGCCUGACGGUGGCCCGGAGGAGCGACCGACUCCCGCGUAGGCUGCCUCCUCCGCAACUCCCUGGGGCGCAGCGGUGGGCGGGAACAACUAGCCAGCGCAAUUUGAUCAGGCUGUGGCUGACAGGCAGGGAAGCCUGGCUUCCUUUGUAAGCUUGCAUUUUAUAAGGAAGAGAAAAUAUGGGGAAGGGAAGCAACAAAAAAGGCUCCUCGGCCCCCAAUCCUGAGAAACAGGCAAUAGUGGACACUGCACCAAUAUACAUUAAGCGCCAUCUAGAGAGCCUCAUAGACUGUUGGGAGCCGUGGCACUGUCAAGUCAUCAGACGCGGUGAUUGCGAGGCCUGUGGGAAAGUACAAAAGCCUGGGCUAGAUUACCCCUCUCAUCGAGCCCGCCUGUGUGGCACCUGUUUCUUAUCACCCCACUAAGUUCCCGCCUCACAGGGUAGUCUGCCUAGCUAUUAAUCCUAUAUAUAGCCAGUGCCUCCACCCCCGAGAGAGAGAGAGACUGAAGCACGGAAGGAGCCGCAGAGAGCGGACCGGUAGAGGCUUCGGGGCAGACUGAAGCACGGAAGGAGCCGCGGAGAGCGGACCGGUAGAGGCUUCAGGGCAGACUGUAUAAGGAGAGAAUAAAGAAAAGCCUGACCACCGCCAGACCUUGUCGUGUGUCUUUCCUGCCGGCCGGGAGCGGACAUCGACAUUUGGUGGCCCGUACGGGGAUUGAUCAACCCCGAGACGCGGCGGUGGACUGCAUUCUCCUACACAGUGCUGCAGCUGCAGGACAGGAAUCGGGACGAGAGCCAAUGUGGGUCCCAGAGAGGUUGACGCGACAAGUCCCUCGACUGAAGAUCAGGCCUGUUCCACCAGAGGCCAACCGCAGACCCAACAACAA